rnacentral:rRNA from 1 species
AUUGAACGCUGGCGGCAGGCCUAACACAUGCAAGUCGAGCGGGGUUUUCGGACCUAGCGGCGGACGGGUGAGUAAUGCGUAGGAAGCUACCCGACAGAGGGGAUACCAGUUGGAAACGACUGUUAAUACCGCAUAAUGUCUACGGACCAAAGUGUGGGACCUUCGGCCACAUGCUGUCGGAUGCGCCUACGUGGGAUUAGCUAGUUGGUGAGGUAAUGGCUCACCAAGGCGACGAUCCCUAGCUGGUUUGAGAGGAUGAUCAGCCACACUGGAACUGAGACACGGUCCAGACUCCUACGGGAGGCAGCAGUGGGGGAAUAUUGGGACCAAUGGGCGGCAAGCCUGAUCCAGCCAUGCCGCGUGUGUGAAGAA